AAAUAAGUAAAUAAAUAAAUACAUAAAUAAAUAAAUUUACAUUUAGAAAGCCACACAUAGCUAGUGGCUACCAUGCUGAACAGCACAAAAGCCCUGCUAGGCACAUCUUGAGAUGUCACUGAGGCCAGUAACUGACUGGCUGUUUGCUUCAGACCUUGGGGUGAAGAUCCUGCAAAUGUCAGCUGCCCGGCACUCACAUGAAGUAGGCUGCCCCUUGGGAAGGGGAACACAUGAUCGCAGAGGGUUUCUGGCUGCACUGCCCUCCUGCAAGCUGGCGUGGGCUUGGGCCUGCCAGCACCAGAGUCCCAUGACUCUAGCUCCCCCAGAGGCCCUGGCGCUGUCUAUUCACCACCAUCCUAGGACUGCUGCUGCUCGCUCUGCUCCUCCUCUUCCUCCUCCCCAUCCCCCAGCCCAGAAGGGCAGCAGUCCUCUCGAGUUUGCCCCUUCAGACAAACCAGGACAGCUUCAUCCAAGUAUAGAAAUAGUCACCUGCUUUCUCAAAGUCACAUCAGAACAGAGCUGAGAGGAACCUUAGAAGUCAUUCCUUCAUUCCUCCUACCGCCACCCCAUUUUACAGUUGAGAAGCCAAGACCUAGAGAGGUGAUCAGUAUCAUCUUUGGCCUCUUUGCCCAGGGCAGUGACCCACUGAGUCCACAGAUGGGGCAGGAACACGUGUGUGUGCAGGAAAAACAGGAACCAUCUGGCUGGGGUCAGGCAUUCCUUCUGCCUCUUUAUGUCCACAGGAUAGUUUUUUAAAUUGAUGAUGAGGAAGGUGCAUGUUUGGCAAAGAGGACAAAGCUUCCAAUCGUUUAACUGCCAAAACAUACAUUGGGGUCACUUAUUGGUGAGAAACAUUUCUGUCCUGUCCUUACAGAUUCUCUGUAACAUAAUUCUAGUUUUUAAACCCUCCCUUGCACAGAGAUUAGGCCCCAGUUCUCAUAAAUAAAAAAUGCUUGGAGCAUAUUUAUUGAUUGCACGACACCGUUUAUCCAUUUUGAAGUGAGUAGUACUAACCAUCUUAACACUUUUCCAAGCAGAAAGUUCUCCUUCAUGGCUAACUUCACUGACUUUUUCCCCCUCUAACUCAGCGUGGUAUGGAGAGAGCUUAGCCAAGCCAGAUGGACAAGUCACUGAUAGGCCACAUUCUGCUAGGAAUAUGUAAGCUAUAUAUGGCAGACUUUGUUUAAGGUCCAAAGUUCAAGGUUUCAGCUAUGGUCACGCGGAUCAUAUCAGACUUGAAGUGAGAGCUGCUGUCCUGAUUUGAAACAGUCUGCAUAACAAACUGUUGGGCACCACUGAAAUGUAUCAGGGAACUCGCUGCAAAAAAAAAAAAACACUCAAAAUGAAUCAUCCCAAAGUUCUAGCAACCAGGAAACAGACACAGUAAGGUGAGUAGUCUACGUUCCCGUGGGCAUUCUAGCUCAUUUUUAAUGACAUCUUAUGAGUAUAUGGCUCCAUUUCUCUCCAUAAUUAGAGUUAAUAAAUACCUUCAAGAGGAUGUUUAUGGCAGACUUUGGAAUAUUAACUCGUUAUUAUCAGAGUUAUGUUGCUGAAGGUGAAGCCUGGUUUUGAAUACAGAAACCACAGCCAAUGCCUCACUCACCUCAAAAUGCAAAUGUAGCAAAAAUUAAUCCCAUGGGACUGUUGUCUCAUGUCUGGCCAGAAAGAUGAGAAUAACUAAUUUGUUUGAAAGUUUCAACUGCUUCCAUCUUAUGCCUUGGAAAGUUUUUCAAUUAUUCAAACACUACCAUAAAAGAAAGACAAUGGCAUUUGGAGUCAAAAGUAUUUGUAUUGAAAUGCCAAGCCAGUCAUUUAAUGACUGUGAUAGAUUAAAUUACUUUUCAAAAUUCUUCACUCCUUCCCUCCACCACCUCCAUGGAAGAAUUGUAUUUCCCUGCCCUUGACUUUAGCUCAGCCAUGUGAUCAUUCUGGCCAAUGAAACACUGGCAGAUCGGAUGCAAGCCAUGACUUCAAAUGUGCAUGUGCAGUGGGACUUGGCACCUGCACCUGUUCCAGCUGGUUCACUGGCCCAAGAAGGAAGAGAAACGUAAGACUGGACCCAGACUUAAUCUGCAGUUUAGAGCCACUCAGCCAAACCCAACCAAGAUCAGCCAACCCCCAGCUGACCAACAGACACUUAAACAAGAAUAAAUGACUUUUGUUUUAAGUUUUGGGGUGGCUUGUAGUGUAACAACUCCUGAUUGAUACAUUGGCAAAGACUUAGUUUCAGUUACUAUGAGGAUUAUGAUACCAACUUCAUAGUGUGAUCUAAACAAUGCGAUGCUAUGAUCCCUUUACUCAUUGAAGACCAAUAAUGUCCCACUCCUGCCUUGACUUCCCCAGUGAUGUAUGUUACAAUUUAGCUAAACUGGGCCUACAUUUCCCAGUAUUCCCUUCUCUGGUGGUCCUGGGUUAGCACUGACCACAAGAGAAUUUUUCUGCAAGAUAUGGAAGCCAGAAGUAAAGCAGCAGACAUGUUUUUUUAGGCUCUGAAGGCUGGAGCAGGAUCCCAGGAACAGUGGGUGCUUAUGCAUGUUGCAAUCUGCUAGCUUGCCUUGUUCUGGGCCAAGUGGUUAUGCAACUCUGUGGAGACGGGUGCCAGCUUCCCCUAGAAGUCACCCACAGCAUUAAGGUUGGAGGUAGUGAGACAGAUGUAGGUUCCGGUUUGUAUUUUCUCUUGUUCACACCAAGCUUCCUUUUACGACUACCAGUUUGGCCGACCAAUUACUACUUUAGGAUCAACAUCAGAUGCAGAAAUAACCGCCUUCCCUUGAUGCCUCCACUAGCUCCCACGCCGUGUAAAGUCUAAUCCUUAUAACACAUCUCCAUUCUCUCUCACUCAUGGUUCUUCAGCUUCUUGGGAUUGAACCCUGAUACAUUGUGGCUGAGUCCAUUGUUGUCUAAACCUGUAAAUUCAGGCAAGUACCUCACAACAUAGUCUUAAGUAAUUUAUUAUGGAGCAAGAAACACGUAAGAUUAAACUAUUAUUUAUUGAGCCCUUACUAGGUGCAAAAUCUGUGCUAAGUGCUUUACAUGCGUUAUCUCAUUUAAUCUCAUAAAAUGGUCCCCAAUCCCCUAUCCAGUAUGCUUUACUCUCAUCACCAUCAUCAGUUGGUGGUUCGGAGAUACCUGCUAGCUACAGUAAUGCUCUAAGUCCUCACUGCCAUUAGGAAUUGUACACUGGGACCCAACAUCCUCUGGGGUGGACCCGGUGGCCUGUGCUGUCCUAAAGUACACACAGGUAGUGCCCAUUAAGGGUUUGCUUUCCCCUGUUCCUCAUUCUCAACUUUGGCAUUAAUUUUUGUCCAAAGAUACAAUCUUUGACCCUAUCAAACAUUCAGUUCCCCUCUAAGUAUGAAGUCUGGCCCCAAAUAUUUGCCUAGUGACUGGGUCCUGAUACCAAGGUCAGAUCUCACAUGGAAAUUGCCCCAAGUGUCGAUCCUCCUGGACUGAAGCAAUGCUGGUGGCCCUGUGCACUUAUUGGGAUCUCCUACUCCUUACUGGGCAUGUACCCCCAUUUGGGAGCUACUUCAUAUACCAAAUCAAGUACCUCUCACUUGCCACAACUGGGACUGAGAUGGCUAUCUUCCUUGGAAACAGACUGCUGGGCCUACCUGUGCCUCUGCAAUCUACAUUGGUAGCUAGGUUAGUUUCCCGGCAUUUGUCCUGUCUCAGCAGGUGCUGUGGCAAAGUUUUCCAGGUUGUACAAAGAUGAAAAUUAGUAGGGUUUCUAAUUAAGAUAUUCAAGUGGAUUUGAGUGGCUUUUCAGUAUCAGUAACUGUGGUAGUUUUGUACUAUAUUAACUUGGCCAAGCUGGGACUAUUUCCCAGUAUUCUCUUCCCAAUAUGGUUCUGGGUUACAGAUGAGUAAAAACAAGAAAUUGGUGCAAGGUUUGAAAGGCAGAAAGGAGGCAGCAGCUGUGACUGGAGAGCGCUACAGUGUAAGGUGGUGAGAGACAGCUGCAGAGGCGCUGGUGGGUUGGCUUUCAUCUUCCGUCUUUCCUGCUGCAUGCCUGGUGCUUCUUCCUGCCAGCUUUACUGACCAACAGCAACUCCAACCCCAUUACCGAUGCUCGGCUGCAAGCUCAGAGAAUGAAUGGGUUCACACAGCAACCCUGUCAAAGAGGUACUAUGAUCCAGAUUUCACAAACCAGAAUAUAAUUAUUAAGUAACUUCUCGGAGAUCACAGUGGAGGAACUAAGAUUCAAAUUGUCUUCUGACCAGAGCUGGGCUCUGAAACCACUCCAAGAAUUGAUCAUCAGCCUUAAACAAUCAGUUUUCUUUCCUUGUAAUAAACUGAGUUACUCAUCUAAGAAUGUCAACUUUGUCUUACUACCACUUGACUCAGUUAUUUUUUUCCCAAACAAUAGAAAUCCAGAGCCCAAACUGUAGAAAUUGGCAAUUUCCUUAUUUAAAAACUACUGUCCAUAACAAAAAGUCUAUUAACAAUACCCCAAAGCAGUUAAGAUUUCUACCUCAUAUAAAAUCAUAAACAUUUUAAUUCAAAAUGUUGACAUUUAGAAGAAAAACUACAUAAAAGCAAAUGGAUUUGAAUUAUCUGACUUUAUUUAGCAUGCAAUGCAAUUUAUUCUGGCAAUAAAUUAAUAUGUGCAGUUAUAAAAAAUGUUGGGUACUUUUUCCAAGAAAAAUGUUUCUGAAUGUGCACACUAGAAUAUAUGCAGAAUCCUUUAAACAGUCGACUUCAUAUUUUAAACUUGUAAGUGUGGUAACAUCAAGUUUUGGAAGAAUGGACUUUUUCUGUAAUUCAUGAUUUAGUUUGAGUUUAUAAAGGUUUUAAUUGCAAUUUCAGUUCCUACAAGCUACCAAGCCUGAAAUUAGAGAACUGACAGCUGAGAAAGGCAAUCACCUGAUCGAGUCUCCUAAUUGUACAGCUGAAGAAUCCAAUGGCCUUGCCAAAGAUUACGAAGCUAAAAAGAGACAUAGCCUGGAUUACAAGUCAGUUUUUAUAGGUGCUCCAGGAAUGUCUUGAGCUAAAUAAGGCACACGUAUCACACAGAACUUUAGUCGUAUCUCAGAGUCCAGUUUUACUCUGCUUUCUCUUUAUUUUUUAGGCAUGAGGUCUUGCCCUGUCACACAGGCUGGAACGCAGUGGUGUGAUCACAGCUCACCACAGCCUCAAACUCCUGGGCCCAAGCAAUUUGCUCAAGGCCCCACACCUUGCUAAUUAAAAGAAGAUUUUUUAGAGACAGGGUCUUUCUAUGUUGCCCAGGCUAGUCUUGAACUCCUGGCCUCACAUGAUCCUCCUGCCUUAGCUUCCUGAGUAGCUGGGAUUACAGGCACGAGCCACUGCGCCUGGCUCUGGUUUUACCUUCUGCUUAACACAGGAUUCAAUCUUGAUGUGUUCUCCUACAGUUCACAAACUUAGUGACUCAAUUGCUUUAGAAACAAAGCAAUAAAUGAUUUGAUUUAGAAAUAAUUUGGUUUAGAAACAAAACCAUUCCCAUUAUUGCAGCAUUAUCAUCAGUCACUGACUGCUAAUGCUUUUUAUGCUUCUUUUUUCCUGGGAUGUGUGAACCUGGCAACUUUUCUUCCUGUUCUUCUAUGUUCUUAGCAAACCCACAUCAAGGGUGUCUGUUCGUGUUUGAAACUCAUCAGCAUCAGAAAGAGCUAACAUGUUGGCAGUAUCUAGAAAACCAUCAACAUGAUCAUGGGACAGUUCAUUUUGCUUUGCAGCUGAUGCCACCAUAGUGAGUGAGUACUCUGCUCUGUUCAUCUGAGCAGUCACUUUGCUUUUGCAAAGCAGUUGUGGAUUACUUCUGGGAUGUCAGUGUCCCAAAUGGCAAUGAGAUUUCUCAUCACAUCCAGAAUAUGCCACAUAAUGUACUGAGCAUUUUCAGCUCGGUACAUUAUAAUUUUUGGUAAUUUAUUGUCUCAGCCUAGUGGCUGCACACAGCCAUGCUGCUGGCAGGUAAAAAAGGCUACUCACUUGUUUUAACGUCCAAUGAAUGUGUGCAGUACAUUUACCAGUAACAGAACAUUUACAUUCUAGCAAGCUAUUUUUCUAAUUGCAGAAGCCAUUCCUAAAACAACCUGACGGACAUCACUGCAUUAAUAAAUAUUUUUUAUUUAUACACAGUAAAGUUGUGUAUAUAAAGGGAAUUUUCAAAUUUCCAAUGUAAAUGAUUCUAAUUUCUUGCUAUGCUUAGUACUGCAGCAAAAGAAGGGUGAUAGCCUAUCUUUAUAUAUUUCUUUUUCUCCAGGGCAACAUUUCUCUGCAGGAGUGAAUGUCUGGUUUGGCUGCAUGUUAUAGAGGCUUAUUAAAUAUGCUCUCAUGGGCAUAUUUAUUCACAAUAGGUCUCUCAUUUUCAAGCUCAUUCUCCGCUGUAGAUGCUUUACCUUGUAGUAGUGACACAACACUGUGAUAUGCCAAAAGCACAGCUACCAGCCAUGGAAAUUUGACGUUAACCCCUACCUGGAAUGCAAUUUCAUUAGCCUUAUCAAAACACAAACAAAAACUCAGAUACAGAAAUAUUACUUGCUCUGACCUGGCAAAGUCAUUCAAACAUUCCACUUACUACACUGGUAUGCUUUGCUCCUCUCAUUCUGUCACCAAUUUCACUUCUUUUGGAUGUUUUUCUUUUCAUCUUGUCCUGACUUCCAAGGAAUAUGCAGAAUAUAAGAAAAGUCCUCAUUCUUUCAUCACUUCAUUUUGGACUUUCUUUCUUGUUCACUAACUUUUAGCUCUGGAGACAUUGUGACCUCACUGUAUUUUCUCUUUAAUACUAUGACCAAACUCUCUGCAUGAAGCAUUACAGAAAUGACACGCUGAACAGAACAUGUCCAUUCUAAUGGGAAAACUGAGGAGACUGGCUUGGUAUAGAAACUGGAAGUGUGGUACUGAUGAAGCAACUAAUUUUAAAUUUAGAACAGCAAAGCUGAUGUCAUAUUUCAAAGGAAGGGCUAAUUUUAAUAAUCUUAAUAACCAAGUCAAAAAUACAAUCUCUUUUUUAUUAAGAAA